AGUGAACGCUGGCGGUAGGCCUAACACAUGCAAGUCGAACGGCAGCACAGUAAGAGCUUGCUCUUACGGGUGGCGAGUGGCGGACGGGUGAGGAAUACAUCGGAAUCUACUUUUUCGUGGGGGAUAACGUAGGGAAACUUACGCUAAUACCGCAUACGACCUACGGGUGAAAGCAGGGGAUCUUCGGACCUUGCGCGAUUGAAUGAGCCGAUGUCGGAUUAGCUAGUUGGCGGGGUAAAGGCCCACCAAGGCGACGAUCCGUAGCUGGUCUGAGAGGAUGAUCAGGCACACUGGAACUGAGACACGGUCCAGACUCCUACGGGAGGCAGCAGUGGGGAAUAUUGGACAAGGGGCGCAAGCCUGAUCCAGCCAUACCGCGUGGGUGAAGAAGGCCUUCGGGUUGUAAAACCCUUUUGUUGGGAAAGAAAAGCAGCAGGUUAAUACCCCGCUGUUCUGACGGUACCCAAAGAAUAAGCACCGGCUAACUUCGUG
rnacentral:rRNA from 1 species